rnacentral:lncRNA from 1 species
UCUUCUUUUUUUUUUUUAAAUUAUUAUUAUUAUUUUUUGUAGUUGUUGUAAACAGACAGAAUGCCUUUAUUUGUUUAAUUUUAUGUGGUACUGAGGUUCGAACCCAGUGCCUCACACAUGCUAGGCAAGCACUGUGCUCCAACCCUCAUGUCUGCCCUUUCAAGUGAUGCUUACAGCUGUAUUUAAUAAGUCAGGUGCAGUUUUGUUGUAAAUUCAAGAAAUGAAAUGGCUUGUUAAUAUCCUUCUGCAACUUCUUGGCAAAAGCAGACCAAGUACUGAGAACUUUUAGUUCCACUUUUAGCACCCUCUUCUAUUGGCAACACGAACUC